rnacentral:snoRNA from 1 species
CCACUUGAUGGUGAAGAGCUGCUGUCAUACAUCCUCGUAGGUACAUCGGCUACAACACUCUUGUGCCUUUUGUUGUUGAUUGUACUGAUCCUAUUUUUUUGAGUGAUUUAUGCCCAACUAAUCAGCUCCAAGA